UACUCCUAUGAACCAAGCAGUCAGCAGAAGCCAUAGUAGCCGCCUGGAAACGAGCCGUAAGCACUGCGGAGGUCUCACAGGGCGGCGAAGGGC
rfam:Pontibacter ummariensis strain NKM1 genome assembly, contig: Ga0139000_119